rnacentral:misc_RNA from 1 species
CUUCAGCUUGUUUGCUCUACUGGUAUGUGGCCAUCAGCCUUACAUAUAUAAGUUAGAAAGUCUCUUGGUAGGGGUGAGCAAUCGGUCAGUUCAGUUCUUUUAAAAUAAUUGUGAAAACUUCACCCUCCUACUAUCUAUCUUCUUCCAAACAGUGAACAUGGAAUCAAAUUAUGCAACUUUCAGAAAUUAGAAGAAAUUCCAAUUGGCACAUUCACUUGCUAAAUUCCAAUGAAAUAACAGAAACCCAUUAUGGAAAUCACUAAUAUUAAAUUCAUGGUCAUCGUGCAAUUUUUGUAACUUUGUGUAAGGAAGGAUUCUUGUAGAAGAGUACCAGUAUUGGCAAUCACACACAGGAUAUGGAAUAAAUUUAUGAUUUAUUUGGAUUUUCCUGAAGUUGAACUUGAUAAUGGGCCAUUGCAUUAACUCGAUAGCAGGAAGCAUAGAGCGAAGGAGAAAAUGGCCACAGAAGAGAGAAGGUAGUGGGAGGUUUAUGGAUAGUAGCUGCAGUGAAAACUUUAAUAGCUGAUGAUGGCAGCUGCUGCAGGUUUCAAAUUGAUGAUGUCAACGGAGAAGGUUUUAGUGUACUAGGAUUAGAUGGCAGAAAAGAGAAGAGUAGAAAAGAAGAGAGGGAGGAUAGGUUGCUAGGUUUACUGAAAAAGAUGUUUAUAUAGUGUGAAUUGGGCGUCUAAGAUCAUCUGAAAGGGAUGGUUGAGAUUUGUGAAAGUUG